UACGGAGGGUGCAAGCGUUAUCCGGAUUCACUGGGUUUAAAGGGUGCGUAGGUGGAAUGGUAAGUCAGUGGUGAAAUCUCCAAGCUUAACUUGGAACUGCCGUUGAUACUAUCAUUCUUGAAUAUCGUGGAGGUAAGCGGAAUAUGUCAUGUAGCGGUGAAAUGCUUAGAUAUGACAUAGAACACCGAUUGCGAAGGCAGCUUGCUACACGAUCAUUGACACUGAGGCACGAAAGCGUGGGGAUCAAACGG
rnacentral:rRNA from 1 species